AGCGAACGCUGGCGGCAGGCCUAACACAUGCAAGUCGAACGAAGUCUUCGGACUUAGUGGCGGACGGGUGAGUAACACGUGGGAACGUACCUUUUGGUUCGGAACAACUCAGGGAAACUUGAGCUAAUACCGGAUGAGCCCUUAGGGGGAAAGAUUUAUUGCCGAAAGAGCGGCCCGCGUUAGAUUAGCUAGUUGGUGAGGUAAAGGCGCACCAAGGCUACGAUCUAUAGCUGGUCUGAGAGGGUGAUCAGCCACACUGGGACCGGGACACGGCCCAGACUCCUACGGGAGGCAGCAGUGGGGAAUCUUGCGCAAUGGGCGAAAGCCUGACGCAGCCAUGCCGCGUGAAUGAUGAAGGUCUUAGGAUUGUAAAAUUCUUUUACCAGGGACGAUAAUGACGGUACCUGGAGAAAAAGCCCCGGCUAACUUCGUGCCAGCCGCCGCGGUAAUAC
rnacentral:rRNA from 1 species